GCGUCCAUGGUGUAAUGGUAGCAUUCGGGUCUCCAAAACCUUCGGUCUCGGUUCAAAUCCGGGUGGACGUGCCA
rnacentral:tRNA from 1 species